CAUAAACAACAACAACAACAACAACAACAACUAAAACAAAAAGACAACAGGAAGAGGACAUCUUCUUUCUCAUUCUCCCUUUCUCAUUUCUCUUUCUUCUUUCUCUUUUCUUUCUCUUUCUUUCU
rnacentral:ribozyme from 13 species